UCGGGAAUUUUGGGCAAUGGGCGAAAGCCUGACCCAGCAACGCCGCGUGAAGGAUGAAGUAUUUCGGUAUGUAAACUUCGAAAGAAUAGGAAGAAUAAAUGACGGUACUAUUUAUAAGGUCCGGCUAACUACGUGCCAGCAGCCGCGGUAAUACGUAGGGACCAAGCGUUGUUCGGAUUUACUGGGCGUAAAGGGCGCGUAGGCGGCGUGGUAAGUCACUUGUGAAAUCUCCGAGCUUAACUCGGAACGGUCAAGUGAUACUGCUGUGCCAGAGUACAGAAGGGGCAAUCGGAAUUCUUGGUGUAGCGGUGAAAUGCGUAGAUAUCAAGAGGAACACCUGAGGUGAAGACGGGUUGCUGGGCUGAUACUGACGCUGAGGCGCGAAAGCUAGGGUAGCAAACGGGAUUAGAUACCCGUGUAGUCCCUGAGCGGGCUGGCAAGGCGCAU
rnacentral:rRNA from 1 species